CCCUACCAAUGAUUGGUACAUUUUAUUACGCGGUAUAGGUAACUUAAACGAUUGUCAUUCCUGGCAAUUGCGAAAAAACUAUCUGUCAUCAUUUCAAUUUUCGUCAUGCGGAUAACAACAAUAAAGUUGCUGUAUUAUAGGUUUUUACAUAUGGCCCACCUAAUCGCGCAGAGCGCAGAGAAACGAUUCAGAAUGGAGGUACUUUGCGAACCAGAGGAGGUGGAGGUAUCGUGCUGGGAAUAACCGGCGGAGAGGGUGAUAACUUGGCGGAUAAACACCCGCAUGAUUUGGUGGACCAUUGUUUCUCUAAGUUGGUUAAAUAUGACAAGUGUCGGCAGUACUUGCGGGGGCUAAUACAUAAGAAAUUGAUAUGCAAGCAGUAUAAUAUCAUAGUGCUCGGCUACGGGAUUUCAACCGUGCGCAGCGGAAACUGGCAGUCGGACGGCAGCUGCCGACGCCGCAGAUUGUCAUAAUACUUUGCAAAGAGUUCGAACAGAAAGCGAUGUGUAAUUUGAACCUGAAUCUGUACAAGCUGUAUAGAACUACGACGAGGUUAACAAAUUGCGUGACUCACUCAACGAAAAUCUAAUCAACAUCGAUCUGAACAGCUACUCACCGGAGUGUGUAGCCACGGUGCUGAAGAAAUCCUUACGGGAGCUGUCAUUCCGGUAAGUGAUGUGGUAGCAGUUGAACAACUCCGGUCGCAUAUACAGGAUCUGCCAAUUUACCACAACAUGACGCUCAAGUACAUCAUGAUCCAUCUAAUACGAAUAUGUCGAAUGCAGUACCAACGGGUACUGAAAGAGGAACCGAUAAUACUGAUACACAUUCUAAUACGUCCUCCUUGGGAGAAAAUUGUUCAAAUCGCGUAUAACACGGAAAACCACUUGCGAGUAAUGGAACUGUUGCUCUAUAAGCUGGACUGUAAAGAAAAACUACCAGGAUUUCUGUCUGCUCCCGUGGUACACACACGGAAAAUCUCCCGAAGGGCGACUGUGUUACAGCAGCAGCAACAAAAAAUAUCCGGGUUCAUCCACUGUUUUACCCAGCUAGUCGCGAAUAAUUUUCAACGUUGAACGUAUGCUGAAGGGUCGUUACGUUGCCGGUGUAUGUGAAUGUUUUCAUAAUUGCAUGGUAGAAUGACUAGCGUAAAGUGACGGGACGGGACGUGAACAUGACGUGGAUGUUGUUUGUGAAUCGCACUUAACACUCCUAUACUCGCGCAUUGGUCUGUCAGACCGAGAAAUCAAUAAUUCGUUUUUUUCUCAGAAAAUAUCAACACUACGACUUUGCGAUUCUCUCUAGCUUCGUUAUUCGUCGUUCAUCAUCGUUUAGCGUAUCGCACGUGUUGGUACAAAGGGGAUGUGUGCCACUUUUUUAACACUUUCGGUCUGACACACCGACGCGAGUAUAGGAGUAACUUUUUUGGAUAAAUGCCUUUUUUCAUAUUCUAGAAUAUUAUUGAAUGAAAUUUAUUAAUUAAUGUUAAUGGCGUGGAAUAUUUAUUGAAUAUAAUGGAUAAGAUCAUUAGAGGACUAUUCUUAUUUGAUUUCAGUCCCUUUUGUAACUGAAUUGAACGGAUCCAUAUAUUAACUAUUCUUCGAUAUAUUUGUCGUUAGAUUCAUACGUUCAAAAGCAAAAUAUAAAUGUUUGACUUUCGUAUAGUUAUUCGCUAAAUAUAAUGGUCAUACAUAUACACACUUGUGGAAGAAUUGUAAACAGUAAACUAUAAACUAAUCGGUAGCUUAUGGUAAUUUUAACAGUUACAGUUUCGUGGAUAUUUUUUUAUAAUGGAUAAUAUCGACAUAAAAACAAGAAAAAGAAAAAGAAGUUACUAGAAAUCCUUUUAUAUCAUCUUUUUAUGCCCCAUCUAAAAAGGCAUUCAUUCUUAGUUUACCAAGAAAACAGAGACAAAGAAUAUUAGAAAUGUGCAAACUUUAUAUUUCAGAACCUUUAUCGUAUGGUAAUUAUCUAGAAGGUACAUUCUUCUCUUCAAUAGAAGAUCCAAACACACGCAACUGAAUGAAAUGUAGAAAAUAUAUUUGUUUCGAGCAUGCAGUUAUGCUAUGUUCUGAUUCUUACUCCAAUGAAACCACAAUCAAUUAAUACAUUUUUAUGUUAUUUUAUAGCUCUUUAUACUUCCAUGAAUUAUAUUCAGUUGCUUACUUUUAAUUAAUAACACUGAAAAAUUCGAAUUUCGUUAUUUGUGUUGGAGUAUCAAAAAUUACUCUAUUUUGAGGAGGCUAAAUUAGAU